rnacentral:rRNA from 1 species
AUUGAACGCUGGCGGCAUGCCUUACACAUGCAAGUCGAACGGUAACAGGUCUUCGGAUGCUGACGAGUGGCGAACGGGUGAGUAAUACAUCGGAACGUGCCCAGACGUGGGGGAUAACGAGGCGAAAGCUUUGCUAAUACCGCAUACGAUCUAAGGAUGAAAGCAGGGGACCGCAAGGCCUUGCGCGUUUGGAGCGGCCGAUGGCGGAUUAGGUAGUUGGUGGGAUAAAAGCUUACCAAGCCGACGAUCUGUAGCUGGUCUGAGAGGACGAACAGCCACACUGGGACUGAGACACGGCCCAGACUCCUACGGGAGGCAGCAGUGGGGAAUGUUGGACAAUGGGCGAAAGCCUGAUCCAGCAAUGCCGCGUGCAGGAUGAAGGCCUUCGGGUUGUAAACUGCUUUUGUACGGAACGAAAAGGCUCUGGCUAAUACCUGGGGCACAUGACGGUACCGGAAGAAUAAGCACCGGCUAACUACGUG